rnacentral:rRNA from 1 species
AGAGUUUGAUCCUGGCUUAGGACGAACGCUGGCGGCGUGCCUAACACAUGCAAGUCGAGCGAGGAGAUUCCUCGGGAUGAUCCUAGCGGCGGACGGGUGAGUAACACGUGGGCAACCUGCCUCAUAGAGAGGAAUAGCCUUCCGAAAGGGAGAUUAAUACCUCAUAACAUUGCAGUUUCGCAUGAAACAGCAAUUAAAGGAGCAAUCCGCUAUGAGAUGGGCCCGCGGCGCAUUAGCUAGUUGGUGAGGUAACGGCUCACCAAGGCGACGAUGCGUAGCCGACCUGAGAGGGUGAUCGGCCACAUUGGGACUGAGACACGGCCCAGACUCCUACGGGAGGCAGCAGUGGGGAAUAUUGCACAAUGGGGGAAACCCUGAUGCCAGCAACGCCGCGUGAGUGAUGACGGCCUUCGGGUUGUAAAGCUCUGUCUUCAGGGACGAUAAUGACGGUACCUGAGGAGGAAGCCACGGCUAACUACGUGCCAGCCGCGGC